rnacentral:sRNA from 1 species
GCCAAAGCCUGACAAGAAACAGCUUCAAGGAGGGAAGUUUUACCUCAGCUCAUGAUCCGGGGAUACAGUCCACAGGUAUAUAAUUCUAUGGUGGAAGGUGGCCAGGACCCUAGAGAUGAUAUGAAAUCUCCACCAUCUGCAGCCCUUAGAAGUAGGGCGGUAUGCAUCAAAAGAAGUGUAAAACAGUCUUGGCUCUUGAGGAGAAAGUCAAGGUAAGCUUACACAGGGUUCAGAAGACUGUUGAGACGGAAGGGAUCAAAACUAUCCAUCACUUCCAGAAAUUCUAGUGUCCCUGUGAUACUGAGUUCCUGUCUUGGAGUUUCUGAUCGCAGGCUGUCAUAAGGGAAGCAUAAGAUGGAGUGAAUCCUUUUCUCCACACGCUUGGUUACGGUUGGUGUUUUAUCACAGCAACUGAGGAACAGCCUAGAACAACUGGCAAAGAGAAGACAUAGUGGUUCACAGUAGCUGGGAGAAUUAGCUUCCCAACUUUGCAUUCAGUGACUUCUUGCUGGCAACCUGGAAUUGGUCCUAGUGGGUAGGAGUAUUAGCACCACGAGAAGUGAAGACGUGGCAGACGUUUUAAAGUGGUAAGUGAUAUUUUGCAUACCCUUCGGAGAGUCAGUUGUUAACACUUGUCUGUAAAACCCUUUUAAGAAACUAUGCCUUUCCCUGGUCAGAUGUAUAGCUGGCAAAUAAUAUUUUCCCAUUCUAUUAGGCUGCUGCUUCAGUUGAUUUACAGUUUCCUUUUCAGUACAGAAACAAAAUGGAUGUAGUGUCAAGCUGCCCUCUAAGUUUGUAUCUCUGUUUCCACAGAUGAGUGUCGCUCUCAGAACUCAGAGCUAUUUAUGUGUGCAACGGAUGGUAGUUAACACAGAAACUCACAAGAGGUCAAAGUAUAGACAAUGCGUGGAGUGCUCAGUCCCAAACACAGUACCUGUACUAUUUCCCCAACCUUCCGAUGAGAGAUCAUAUUAGAUAAUGGGGCGGGAAGAUUUUACAAAGCAAAGCUCAUGGAGGACCAGAGUGAAACUGUCUAAUGGACAUGGUGGGACCCCUGCAUUGAGACGACAUGGAAAAGGUGGAAAGGUCACCAUAUACAAUGUAAGGUGAAAGCUUUCACCAGGAACCAAAACAGCUGACAUACUGAUCUUAGACUUCCCAGAAUCCAAACUCUGAAGUAAAUUUGUUGUUUAAGGGCCUAACCCAGGAUUUAGGACUACCACGCUGAAGAUUGGGCUUCUAGUACUUGAUUCUAUCUACUGUGGAGGUGGAGAUGGCAGACAGAGAGACUGUAGGCCCUAAAAGCAUGGAUGCAAACAAUGAGAACAGCUUCUCGGAUGCUCAUGGCUCAAUGUGCUUCCUACCAACUCCUCCAGCAGUGUGAAAGACAGGUAUAUGAAAACACGACCACGCUGUCCUGUUGGUCCCAGUCUGGUCAUUACUCACUUCUGUUACAACAAGGGUGUGAGAGUUUGCAAGGCCAUCCCACAUUUUAACUGAUUUUGCUACAUGUUUCCUGUGCUUGGUCAUGUACUCUGUUAAGACUGCUUUGAAAGAACGUUACAUCUCAGGGAUGGAGUCGUAAUCCAUCAGCAGUAAUGGUUCUGCAGUAGAGAACUUGUAAUGUCCUUGGAGAGGGUUCAGUUCGCUUCUCAGAACCCACCUCAAAACUUCUUGUAACUCUGACUCCAAGGGACCCAAAACCCUUUCCUAUGUUCCAUAGGUUCUUGCACCUCAUACGUAUUUACACAAAUACAUAAUUAAAAUAAAAGAAAUUAAAAAAAUACUACCACCCAUAAGCUUAAAUGGUAAUUACAAAAGCAAAUAUUUCCCUUUCUAAGUUCUAAGUCAGUAUAAAAUAUGCAUUUAUUUCACCAAUUCAUACAGUAGCUUUAAGAUUUUUCUCUGUGCUGAAGUGAUUUAAUGAAAGAACGUAAGGUUGAAAAUCAAUACAAGAAGAAAAUCAAGUAGAACUUGUUAGUAGAGAAGUGUCAGACCAUCCUUCCGUGCUGAUCCCUUCUCUAGCCUGUGUUUCUCAGGGAUCCUAGAGGGCAUAGUUUUGACAUCACUGUAUUAAGCUAUAAAACUUAUUAUAAACAAUUUUUGUUUUACAAAAGCUAUUCGUUUGGCAGAAGACAGCAAGCUAUGAACCCAUCCCAUCUUGCCAUUGCUGGGUUUGGUGCUUCACUAAGCACUCUGAAGACUUUAUUCUCUUUAUUAACCUUCCUUUCCUCCACAAUUGCUACAUCAUUGUUCCACCAAUGCCCUUGAGAGACUAAAGCCAACAACUUGGUUAACAGCAUCCUGUACUCAGUAAUAAACACAGUGUUUCCAUAGACUUUAUCCUUUUACUACUGUUCUAUGUUUCUGGCUGAUGGCACACAAUGCUGCUGUCAGACUUUGACCUGGAGCCACGCUUCUGCAUGCUCUCCCAAGAUCAUAGAAGCUUUUCCAUAAAGAAAAUCUAUAAAGCUGACAUUCAUGGGUCUUAAAUUAACUAUCCGACCCAAAUUAACUUAUUGACCUUCACUGAGCUUUGAUUUUUCUAAUCUGUAAAAUAGAUCAGUGGCAUUGACUUGACCUAAAUAAUACAAA